rnacentral:SRP_RNA from 2 species
GCCGGGUGUGGUGGCGCGCACCUGUAGUCCCAGCUACUCGGGAGGCUGAGGCAGGAGAAUUGCUUGAGCCUGGGAGGCCGGAGGUUGCAGUGAGCUGAGAUUGCACCACUGCACUCCAGCCUGGGCGACAGAAUGAGAUUCUGUCUCAA